UAUGCGAAGUGAGAUUUGGAAACUAAAUAUCACAUAUUUUUAUAAUUAAAAUUGGUCUUAGACCUGCUCCUUUUAACAUUGUACUUGAAAAAGAUCAAUGUCAAUAUGUCAAGACAUGAAGAUACUGUAUAAUAUUGUAUUAUUAAUUUAUGCAGAUGGAUAUUGUGAUCAAAAUCGUUUGGUAUGAUGUAGUGAUAAAAAUGGAUAGCUAAACUAAAUCAGUCAGUUUUAAAGGUUAAUGAGGAUAAAACAAAGUAGUUAAGUUCUAGAAUCGUGAGGAACAGUAGAUGACUCAAAUCUGAUAUUAGGAAAUUAUAGCUUUCAGUGAGUAAAUGAUUUUAAAUAUCCUCUGGCUAACAUUAACCAAAACUUAACACAGAUAAUAAAAUCAAGUUGAUAAUGUUUACUGCAAACAAAGAUUAUUACCCUAUAAGAAAAUUGUUAAUAUUACUCUCUGGACAAUUAAAGAAGAAUACCUGAAUUCAAGUUUCUUAUGACCAGUUUUGAUUUACACCUGCUAAAUAUCAAUAACAUAAUUCAUCAUAACAGGAGUGAAAAAAAUAUUUUGUUUUAAAAGAAGAAUACUUGAAUAUCUAGACUAAUGUUAGAAAAUAGAGUGUACACAAAUAAAACAAAUAGAAAAGUCCAGCUAAUCUACUAAAAAUCUAGUGUAAAUGGUAACCUUAAAAGUUAACAAUUUAAGUGAGUCAGCCAUGUCUGGAGACCAAAUGGAAUUUUGAAGAAAGCCUUUGGUUAAGAAGUUAAAUGAUGACCUAAUCAAAUAUAUUUGUAGACAAACGAAUAUACGAUAAAGUAGAGAAAAAAGAGAUGGAAGAGUUAAGCCAGCCAAGGUCCUGCAAGUUAUGUAAAAGAUUAAAAAUAAUACUAUAAAAUAAUGCCUGCAAAAUGUAUGAUGUUUUUUUUUUUUUUUGAAAAUUAUCUUAUUUUAAAUAAAUAACCAAUAUAUUUUAUAACCAACCAUGAAGAUUUAAACUUGUCUUAGUGUAAAAUUUAAUUUUGUGGGCACGGCCUUACAGGAUUUUUCUGUUUAAACAUAAAAUUAGAAAUACUGUAAAUUUUUUUCCAUUUAUGUCAAAUUAACUUUUGUUUUGCUCUUUAAAAAAAAUCAUCAGUGAUAAUAAAAACCCAUACAAAAUUAUCAUAUUAACUUAAUCAUUUUGUGGCAAUAAAUGCAAGGUAGGUAUAUAGGAUAAGUUCUUCUAUUCUCUUCCUUAAAUACUAUAUUAUAAUGUAUUUUAUUAUAUGUGAAAACUAAUUAUUUAAAAAAAAAAUUGCAACAAAUUCAAUGAUUAUAAUUUUAUAAGAAAAAAGUCUGAUAUAUAAGUACUUAUAAAUCUAUGUAGUUUUAUGCAUAAGUAGGUAACUUAAAAUUUUUUAGUUACAAUUGAACCUCGGUUUUUACUUAAGCAUUAGAUUGACAAAUAGUGUUGGUGCAACAAAAUAUUGGCGGAAGGUCUUAAUAUCUACUGAAAUUUUAAGUGGGACUUUUGUAAAUGAGUAUUAAUAUUUUAUGUUUAAAAACAAAUUUGUCAUUUAUUCUAUAU